GACGAACGCUGGCGGCGUGCCUAAUACAUGCAAGUUGAGCGCUGAAGGUUGGUACUUGUACCAACUGGAUGAGCAGCGAACGGGUGAGUAACGCGUGGGGAAUCUGCCUUUGAGCGGGGGACAACAUUUGGAAACGAAUGCUAAUACCGCAUAAAAACUUUAAACACAAGUUUUAAGUUUGAAAGAUGCAAUUGCAUCACUCAAAGAUGAUCCCGCGUUGUAUUAGCUAGUUGGUGAGGUAAAGGCUCACCAAGGCGAUGAUACAUAGCCGACCUGAGAGGAGGAUCGGCCACAUUGGGAAUGAGACACGGCCCAAACUCCUACGGGAGGCAGCAGUAGGGAAUCUUCGGAAAUGGACGAAAGUCUGACCGAGCAACGCCGCGUGAGUGAAGAAGGUUUUCGGAUCGUAAAACUCUGUUGGUAGAGAAGAACGUUGGUGAGAGUGGAAAGCUCAUCAAGUGACGGUAACUACCCAGAAAGGGACGGCUAACUACGUG
rnacentral:rRNA from 1 species